rnacentral:rRNA from 1 species
AGAGCGAACGCUGGCGGCAGGCCUAAUACAUGCAAGUCGAACAGACCCUUCGGGGUUAGUGGCGGACGGGUGAGUAACACGUGGGAACGUGCCCUUUGGUUCGGAACAACUCAGGGAAACUUGAGCUAAUACCGGAUGUGCCCUUCGGGGGAAAGAUUUAUCGCCAUUGGAGCGGCCCGCGUCUGAUUAGCUAGUUGGUGGGGUAAAGGCCCACCAAGGCUACGAUCAGUAGCUGGUCUGAGAGGAUGAUCAGCCACACUGGGACUGAGACACGGCCCAGACUCCUACGGGAGGCAGCAGUAGGGAAUCUUGCGCAAUGGGCGAAAGCCUGACGCAGCCAUGCCGCGUGAAUGAUGAAGGUCCUAGGAUUGUAAAAUUCUUUCAGCGGGGACGAUAAUGACGGUACCCGCAGAAGAAGCCCCGGCUAACUUCGUGCCAGCAGCCGC